UACGUAGGGACCAAGCGUUGUUCGGAUUUACUGGGCGUAAAGCGCGCGCAGGCGGUUCGGUACGUCCGGCGUGAAAGCUCCCGGCUCAACUGGGAGAGGGCGUUGGAUACGGCCGGACUGGAGGGCGGUAGAGGUCGGUGGAAUUCCCGGUGUAGUGGUGAAAUGCGUAGAGAUCGGGAGGAACACCUGUGGCGAAGGCGGCCGACUGGGCCGUCCCUGACGCUGAGGCGCGAAAGCGUGGGGAGCGAACCGG
rnacentral:rRNA from 1 species